rnacentral:rRNA from 1 species
UACAGAGGGUGCGAGCGUUAAUCGGAAUUACUGGGCGUAAAGCGCACGUAGGUGGCGACGUAAGUCGGGUGUGAAAGCCCCGGGCUCAACCUGGGAAUUGCAUUCGAGACUGCAUUGCUGGAGUACGGAAGAGGAGGGCGGAAUUCCCGGUGUAGCGGUGAAAUGCGUAGAUAUCGUAAGGAAGACCAGUGGCGAAGGCGGGUCUCUGGACAGUUCCUGACGCUGAGGCACGAAGGUCAGGGGAGCAAACGGG